rnacentral:rRNA from 1 species
GACGAACGCUGGCGGCGUGCUUAACACAUGCAAGUCGAACGGAAAGGCCCUGCUUUUGUGGGGUGCUCGAGUGGCGAACGGGUGAGUAACCCGUGAGUAACCUGCCCUGGACUUUGGGAUAACUUCAGGAAACUGGGGCUAAUCCCGGAUAGGAGCUCCUGCUGCAUGGGGGGGGUUGGAAAGUUUCGGCGGUUGGGGAUGGACUCGCGGCUUAUCAGCUUGUUGGUGGGGUAGUGGCUUACCAAGGCUUUGACGGGUAGCCGGCCUGAGAGGGUGACCGGCCACAUUGGGACUGAGAUACGGCCCAGACUCCUACGGGAGGCAGCAGUGGGGAAUAUUGCACAAUGGGCGGAAGCCUGAUGCAGCAACGCCGCGUGCGGGAUGACGGCCUUCGGGUUGUAAACCGCUUUCGCCUGUGACGAAGCGUGAGUGACGGUAAUGGGUAAAGAAGCACCGGCUAACUACGUG